AAAAGGUGGCUAUGCUACCGCUUUUGGAUGGGCCCGCGGCGCAUUAGCUAGUUGGUGGGGUAAAGGCUUACCAAGGCAAUGAUGCGUAGCCGAACUGAGAGGUUGAUCGGCCACAUUGGGACUGAGACACGGCCCAAACUCCUACGGGAGGCAGCAGUAGGGAAUCUUCCACGAUGGGCGAAAGCCUGAUGGAGCAACGCCGCGUGGGUGAAGAAGGUCUUCGGAUCGUAAAACCCUGUUGUUAGAGAAGAAAGUGCGUGAGAGUAACUGUUCACGUUUCGACGGUAUCUAACCAGAAAGCCACGGCUAACUACGUGCCAGCAGCCGCGGUAAUACGUAGGUGGCAAGCGUUAUCCGGAUUUAUUGGGCGUAAAGGGAACGCAGGCGGUCUUUUAAGUCUGAUGUGAAAGCCUUCGGCUUAACCGGAGUAGUGCAUUGGAAACUGGGAGACUUGAGUGCAGAAGAGGAGAGUGGAACUCCAUGUGUAGCGGUGAAAUGCGUAGAUAUAUGGAAGAACACCAGUGGCGAAAGCGGCUCUCUGGUCUGUAACUGACGCUGAGGUUCGAAAGCGUGGGUAGCAAACAGGAUUAGAUACCCUGGUAGUCCACGCCGUAAACGAUGAAUGCUAAGUGUUGGAGGGUUUCCGCCCUUCA
rnacentral:rRNA from 1 species